GGGAGAGCUUCCUCCCUGCCGAGGCUGGGGUUAGACUGUUGCGGGGGAGGGGGACUCACAUACUGCCUGAAAUAAUAGAGCAGUUGGCCACCUGUGGAGUCUGUGGUGAAGGUGAUUCCCAGGGUGGGGUUGGAGAGGAGCUAAAUUCGAGGGGAACGUAGGUCAGUGUGGCACAUAGCUAGAGAGGAGUAGAGCUGGAGGGAAGCCCAGUGCUUGGGCCACUCCCCUCCCCCUCUUCACAUGCGCCUCUCAGCAUCUGCCCCCCUGUCCAGCAGCCCACUGGGAGUGCUUCCUCCCUCUUGUCUGGGGUAAAGGGUGGGGCAAGUGGGAUGUGGGUGAGGGUGGUCUAGGGGAAAACAAAUCCAGUGGCUUAUAGUUAUAGGGCGUCAUCAUUCAUUGAAAUUUUUGAUUCUGAAAAGGGGUUCCCAGUUAAUGAUGGGAAGGCGGACAACCACCUCAUGAGAAGAAACAAACAUUUCAAAGAUAAAGGCCAGAAGCUUCUGUUGGGAAGAAAGACUUAAUUAUGGGAUUUCCAGCUGAGACUUGAAAUAGAAGUGCUGAAAAAUCUCAGGAGGACCAUCAUCUUCAUGGUAUUUCCAGACAGAUCCCAUGGCCCUGUAAGACUGGGGUGAAUUUAAGGUAUUAUGCUUUCUCCAGACUCUUGUCUGCCACAUUUACACUUUGAAUCUGUGGAAUUAUUUUGGUGUUCAAUGGAUUCUAGGAGGGGAAGAAAGCUUAAUGCUCUAGAUUGUCAUCUUUCCACCAGAAUCCUUGUCAAAAAGAGAAAUCUUUCUCUUCUCCAUUUACUAUAUGAAGAGAUCGAGAAAAAAGUAAAAUGUCUGUUUCAAGAUGUAAUAGUACCAAUAUAAUAGAAUCCUAUUCUUGGUUCACUUCUGAAAUUUUAGUGUGCAAUGGACUUCAGCUUAAUUCAUUUACUUAAGAAAAUGCAACAAGAAAAUACAUCUCACCAAGUCUAGAAAGUGUUCCAUUGUUUUGGAUAUAUAUACAUUUUCAGUUUAUAACAAGAAAGACUUUUAUUUUUGACUAGGUUCAUAGAAUGCCAGAGUUGGAAGAGAACUUAAUGUAAGCCAUUAUUCUCUUAAAUUUUUUAAAUCAUGCAUCCAUUUCUGUAAGAAGUUUUUAUUUUAUACUCCCA
rnacentral:lncRNA from 1 species